GUAUUAGUCUAUGUAAACAUCCUACACUCAGCUCGUAUGUAUAACCUGACUGGGUGGGGGGUGUUUGCCUCGACUGAUCU
ensembl:miRNA xtr-mir-30b xtr-mir-30b